UUUGCUUCUGUCAAAGGAAUUUUUUUCUUUUUUUAAAUCCUUAAUAAAUGGUGUAAUCUCGUGAUAAAAAUAAGAAAUCGUGCUGAGACCAUAAUGAAAAACUCGAAACGUUUCACAAAGAAUCACUCAUAUGUACGUACAAUGUACAUAUGUAGGUGUCAUAGAAACUAUAAGUUCGAGUAUACGUUUUCUUGAAAAGCAGCUUUUUAGCGCUUUUUAGUGCUUAGAAACGCACUUAAAAGGUGCUCAAUGUGUGGUGAAUCGUAGAACAUGCCUAUGUUAAAAUCAACACUUUUCAUACAAAUUGAGCGCUCGGUGAUGACUUUUUUGCAGUGAUUCAGUUCCCAAAAAGUGUUGAUUGGUACUGCAGGGUCUGCUCAGCCUCUGCCUCAGCCGACCCAUGCAAAUUAUUCACACCAAUAUAAGACAAAAUGUCUAUAAACGUAGGCGUGCCGAAGUUUGCUCCUUCCUUGGCGCCAUUUAAGUGCAAGUCGAAGCAAAUCUGAUAGUCAAGGCGAUUUUUCUUAAUUUGUUUUAAUAUUAUUUAAAAUGCAUGCCGAUGGAAUUCGCGGAACUUUAUGACCAUUUUAUUUUAUAUUUUAUUUUUCCCUGGCCCUUUAUGAUUUCUUUGACCUCGCAAUUCAAAUUUUAACUGAAAUUGUAAGUGUGUCCGCAUACCGAUUCACCUUUCUAUCGAUAUACAAGGCAGACUAUCGAACGAGUCGUUAGGAUUCGCGGUACUCAGAUGAGCUAAAGAAAUACUAAAAAAAUAUCAGAUUUCGCGAGUGGAUUUCGAAGAACGCCGUUAGCCGCCGCGCAAAGAAUGAAAACUGUAAACUUUCGGUGAGUUCGGGGAAAACCUCUGUUGAAACGAAAAAUUAAAAGUGGAAGCUAAACUCAAAACGCCUGCAGAGAGCAGAUGAAAAAGGACGUCAAGUGCAAGCCUUAUCCAAGUUGCCCAUUAUUGUGGAAUUUGACCCACAGGAAGCAAUACCACAACAGAGCAAACCAGCGGAAUAGUGGAAGUGCUGGAGAUAGUCCAAUCGGGAAGCCCAAAGAAAGUUAGUUCUGGCCAAAAGUUAUUUGGUUACGGUGUACUAAUAAAAGUAUCUUGCCGAGUGGGACUUCGCUCCCUAAAUGGACAUCCUGCCGGGCGUGUCCUCACAAAGAAAAAGUAUCUUUUUAGCAGAACACCCAGAAAGAUCUCCGAUGAGCCCUUCUUUGGGAAACCACAGACCUCCAAGUCCACCAGCCACUUGGCACCUACAGCGGAGAUGGUGCGCUGGCUGUUAUGGGGAGAAAGAAAAAAGGGCGCCCGCUAAGAGCUGGUGAAGCUAUUUAUAGCCAUUGGCAGGAUGCUGGACGACUUCCUGCAGCAUCAGUGGAACAACUUCGGCUUUUAGUUAAUCAAUGCAUACAUUUUGAAAUUAUGCUAAUUUGAUUCUGGAUACAGAAACUCUUCAAAUUUUACUUGGGGCUCAA